rnacentral:rRNA from 1 species
UACGAAGGGGGCUAGCGUUGCUCGGAAUCACUGGGCGUAAAGCGCACGUAGGCGGCUUCUUAAGUCAGGGGUGAAAUCCUGGAGCUCAACUCCAGAACUGCCUUUGAUACUGGGAAGCUUCGAGUCCGGAAGAGGUGAGUGGAACUGCGAGUGUAGAGGUGAAAUUCGUAGGUAUUCGCAAGAACACCAGUGGCGAAGGCGGCUCACUGGUCCGGUACUGACGCUGAGGUGCGAAAGCGUGGGGAGCAAACAGG